rnacentral:rRNA from 1 species
CUACGGGUUGCUCCAGUGAGGAAUAUUGCACAAUGGAGGAAACUCUGAUGCAGCAACGCCGCGUGGAGGAUGACGCAUUUCGGUGUGUAAACUCCUUUUAUAUGUCAAGAAAAUGACGGUAGCAUAUGAAUAAGCACCGGCUAACUCCGUGCCAGCAGCCGCGGUAAUACGGAGGGUGCAAGCGUUACUCGGAAUCACUGGGCGUAAAGGACGCGUAGGCGGGAUAUCAAGUCAGGUGUGAAAUCCUACAGCUUAACUGUAGAACUGCACUUGAAACUGGUAACCUAGAGUAUGGGAGGGGGAGAUGGAAUUAGUGGUGUAGGGGUAAAAUCCGUAGAUAUCACUAGGAAUACCUAAAGCGAAGGCGAUCUCCUGGAACAUAACUGACGCUAAGGCGUGAAAGCGUGGGGAGCAAACAGGAUUAGAUACCCGGGUAGUC